AUGGCGGAGCAAACGGAGCAGCUCCUCCAGUCCUACAAGGAAGAGAAUCGCAAGUUGCAGGAGCUUGUUCGUAGUUAUUCGCAGAGGAUAAUUGCUCAUAAUUCCGAACUGGAAUCCAUGAUAAGGGACUAUGAGCAAGAGGAAAAUGAGGAGAAAGAAGCCGCUCCAUUAUUGAAGUCAGAGCAGGAAAUCAGGUGUAAGGAGCUACAACUCGCUGAAUUAGAGCAGGAAAAGCUAGCCCAAUCCAUUGAUAGACUGGUUUCACAAAUUAGGCAAGAGAAAAAUGAGAAGGAGAAAGAAGACGCUAUAGUAUUUCACAUGUCAGAGGAGUUAAAGCAGCAACUUGAGCUAGAAAUUAAACAGCUUCACAGCAAAUGGGAAGCAAUGGAACACAUGCAAGGUGAUGAAGACUCUGAAUCAAAGAAGAAAAUGGCUGAUCAAAUUCAGGAGCUAAAAGAGCAGUGUGAUACAGUACAAUUAUUUGCACAGACUUUAGCUAUCAAGGAAAGGAAAGCCAAUGAUGAGUUGCAGCUUACUCGGAAGGCACUGAUACGUGGCUUCCCGGAUCUUACAACUGGUCAAUUAUCUAUAGGCAUCAAAAGGAUCGGCAUGCUUGACCAGGAAUUACUUGAAAAAGCUUUCCAACAGAAGUUGUCAGAGUGA
rnacentral:rRNA from 1 species